rnacentral:rRNA from 1 species
AUGGGAGAACAAUGUUUCCUCUUUGCGGCCCCAAAGGAACAAAAGGAGUCUGAGAAGGAGGAGUCUGCAGAGGAGCCUCGAGAUAUUUCGCUUAAGGUAGACAUGGACUGCCAAGGUUGCGCGAAGAAGGUUGAGAAAUCCCUCCUCAUAUUUGAAGGUGUUGAGAACGUGAGGGCCAAUAGCCAACCAAAGACUGUGGUGGUGAAGAGCAGGACCGCGGAUCCCACCAAGGUUUGCGAAAGAGUUCAAAGGAAAACAAAGAGAAGGGUUGAGUUGAUCUCCCCUAUUCAUCCACCACCCCCGUAG